UGGGGUGUGGCUCAGUGGCAGAGCGCUUGCCUACGAUGUGUGAGGCACUGGGUUCAAUUCUCAGAACCGCAU
rnacentral:tRNA from 1 species